rnacentral:rRNA from 1 species
CGCCAGACUCCUACGGGAGGCAGCAGUGAGGAAUAUUGGUCAAUGGGCUUACGCCUGAACCAGCCAAGCCGCGUGAGGGAAGACGGCCCUAUGGGUUGUAAACCUCUUUUGUCGGAGAACAAAACCCGGGACGAGUCCCGGACUGCGUGUAUCCGAAGAAAAAGCAUCGGCUAACUCCGUGCCAGCAGCCGCGGUAAUACGGAGGAUGCGAGCGUUAUCCGGAUUUAUUGGGUUUAAAGGGUGCGCAGGCGGAGGUGCAAGUCAGCGGUCAAAUUGCGGGGCUCAACCCCGUACUGCCGUUGAAACUGCAUCCCUUGAGUGCGCGAGAAGUAUGCGGAAUGCGUGGUGUAGCGGUGAAAUGCAUAGAUAUCACGCAGAACUCCGAUUGCGAAGGCAGCAUACCGGCGCGCAACUGACGCUCAUGCACGAAAGCGUGGGUAUCGAACAGGAUUAGAUACCCGAGUA